GGGAAUCUUGUAGCUGGAGUCUGGAGAUGUAUACAUGGUUGACUCAAUCCUAAUUGUUGGAAACAAUAUCACAGAUCAAAGCUUUAUCGAGUCUCAUAAAAUGUGUGAGAAGUGUGAGAAUAGAGUUCUCAGGAAGGAGGCAUCAUGGGCAUUGUGAAACGUAGCAGCAGGCAAGUUUGGGCACAAGAAAUAUUGCAGGUUAUGAGGGUGUACCCCAAACAGGGCCCAAAGCAUGUGGAGAGGAAGGAUGCCCACGGGCAUUUGUUGGCGCGAGCUGAUGCGAUCCCGCUGUGGCAAUUGGGAUGGGUAGAUGGGGAGGCAUAGUGGAGGCCGGUGGCAGCAUCUGGAAGAAAACAAUGAGCGAGGCGGCGGCAGUGUACAGUGGCAUGGCCGUUGUGUUGCAGCCGUCGCAUAGACGUCGAAGGAGCACCAGCGACACGCGCGCGCACAGACACACACACACUAAUGGUGCUGCUGGAGGCCAUGGGGCUGAGCAAGGAUGUGAGUGGUACACGGCACUGGUAGCAUUAUACUAUCAAGAACACCGGCAUGGCAUUGAUUCUUGCUAUCUAUAAUGCACGCGACACGCCAUGGUCGUCUUCCACCACCUACGCCUCCAACCCUCCAAAGCGUGUCACCUCAAUGGUCGCCGUCGCCUCAUGCUCCAGCUCUCCCAGCCACCGCCACAGGUCACCGCCUCUGUCCCUCCAAAGAACAGGGCCUCUCUUGUUGCAACCUCCUUACCACGACGACCAACGACGAGGAGGAGGAGGAGCUGGGCGAGGCAGGGAGGCAAGGGCGAAGUGUUGUGGGUGCUUCAUUCGGAUAGAACGUGCUGUAGCCUUGUAGGUCAAGGGCUGACUCCUUAAUAUCUUGUAGGCCUAAAGUUAUGUUAUUGGUUGCUACAGGUCACCACAUCCACUUCCUAGGGCCGCAGGCGGCAAUGGUGAGGAGGUGAGCGACAACGGGAGACUAAGGUGAAACUGAUGAGAAGUAGUGUCGCUUCCUCAAUUAUGUGUAUGGAGAAGGGAAAAGUGUGGGUAGCUUUGAGAUUCGAUUCAAUCAUGAACAAUGAUUUGCAAGCAAACCCUCUUGUACCCAAAAUCACAAUGGUUGGCAUCUCAAUGAGCGAAGGGGGACAUGUGAGCAAAGCGAACCUAAUGAAA